UGUUCAUGGCGGAUCUUGAUU
rnacentral:miRNA from 1 species